UGGGUGACUGGUGUUGUGGAAUCAGAUAGU
rnacentral:piRNA from 1 species